rnacentral:ncRNA from 1 species
GUUAUUUUACCCGAGCGGUGAAUCCCCCUCAGCGGCGGGGCUGAGCCACAAACGGGGUGAAAGCCUUGGCCAAUAAGCGGGUCAGGUUGUGGCUUUUUCUGACUCACCGGGAGGCACCCGGCACCGCUCAGUUUUC